UAAUGGGACAUCAUAGACUCAAGUUCUAUCCCAGGUGAACCCCUUCAUGAGGUAGACAACUUCCACUCGUGCAGAGAACCUUUUUUUUACAGCCAGGGUGGUAAUUAGUGGAUUUCUUAAAAAGACAUUUACUAGUAAUUGCUGUGAUCAACCAUUAUCACUAAUUAGUCAACCAUAUUUUGAUUCCAAAUCCAUUUUUUUGUAAUAUUUGCUUGUAAGGUUGUUAUAGUGUUAUAAUAUGUCGCCCAUCAUUUCAAUUUUCACACAUUGUCAAGUAGGCAUUAUGGACAGCAAGUAGGGAGAUACAUCGGUCUUAGUUAAAGAUAUCGGCAUAUCUGCAUAUGGCACAGUAGGAUUUUAAAAAACAAGCCACCACUAGGUUGUAGGCUAGGCAGUUUUUACUUACUAUAUGGCUGCAAUACCUUGAGGAUGAAUGGAUGAUUGCAAUCUUGUAUGGCCACUAAUAAUCAGGAGAAAUACAAAGUGGAAACGACAAUGUGCAUGUUUAUAGUAAAUGCUCAAACUGGGGCAACCGGCUUAAGAAGAAUAAACAAGUCUUUUGGAAAUAAAAGGAGGUGAAAAGUUUAUUAGUCAACUUGAAAUUCUCAGUGCAGAUUUUUGUCAAAAGUUGGAAGGCUCACAGGUUUCAUAGGGAAGUGGUCUAUCCAGCAAUUCAGAAUGCGGAAAGGGAACCAUAAACCAGAGCCCUGUUACCCCUUGUGUUUAGUUCACCCCGAAAUCCAAAAAGUUUUCAAGAUUCCCUGUCACAUCAAAUUUUGCGGCACAUGUGUCACACCCAUAUUUUAAGAGCAAAAUAGGAUGCAUAAAAGACUCAUAUGUGCCCCAGAAACAGUCGCACACAUAAGUAGACAAAUCUCAAAUGUACCAUCGCAGUGUUUAUUACAUAGCGGAAUAUAAAAUAUCACAUAGUCUCAUACAAAAAUGAUAACAUAAAGUAAACAACGCUCUCAACGGAAGCUCCACACAGGGACACUGUUGACUGGUUGACUCCAAACCUAGUACUCAUAACGGUAGUCCUCAUUCCAGUCAUCUUCAUUAUCAUAUCCUGAGGUGUUGGGAAAUUGCAAGAGUGAGCACAUAUCGUACUCAACAAGUAUAACCAGGGGUUCAUGAGGCUCAAAUAGCUGACACUGGUUUGACUGCAUUUAGCUUUUAAUAGUGGAUAGCAUGUUCAUAAUUAAAUAGCAAUUCUCAAGGUAGCAUAAAUAAUCAAUUAAUCCCAUGAUCAAUGUAAGCAUAAUUAACUCAUAGCAUAAACAAUAAUCAAAUGAACAUAAUAACAUAACAAGCUCAUCAUCUUAAUGUAGAUGUCCCCAAGGCCGCUCCUGACCGUGAGCUCGGCUAGUAUACCAGUUUUACACUCUGCAGAGGUUGUACAUCUUUACCCAUGAGUCAUGAUUUACCCUUUCGCCCGAGGCCCGUCGACCUCUUAACCCACUACCAAGGAAGGUCGGCAGGGAUCACUAUGAAGCCUUUCAAAAGUUCGUCUAACAUGUUAGGGCCGCAAGGUUUCCUUUGCGAGCAGAUAUAGAUACCCCCCUUCCGAAUGGCACAAUGACGCGCAGCCUAUACACAUAGGGACAGGGGCUCGCACUAUACCCGUGUCGGUUCAGCCCCUCUAGCGCCCUUUCGGGUAACCUCUAACAAGCUAGAAAAGGUCUUCAUACUGAGCUAAAGCCAGAGCCAUAAUAGCCCUCAUGGUUGCACUGUUAUCCCGGGUGAUCACGUACAGACAAGAUCUCAUGUCGUUAUUUGUCAUUCUUUUAUGUUCAUUGCAUAGCUAUUAAUCAUCUUACAAGAUCAUGGAUUAUAUCAAGCACUAGCACAUCUACUCCAAAUGCAUAUCAAGUAGGUAGCAAGGAAUCCAGGUAACAAUCAUCUAUGAUUUUGCUAAGGUCGACAAGGUGAUAGCAUGCAUAUGACAUAUAUGUGUAGUUAUAAGUGAAUAGGUAACAAGGAUAAUCCCAAGUUAUACUUGCCUUGCUCAAAGCUCUCCUGAGCUUGCUGGUCCUCAAAAGCUUGGGCUUGGUCACCAACGUACGGCUCACCGUCUAAUCCCAAUCAUCAAUCAACAACACGCAUUCCAAUGGAGACAAUCAUACACAAAGCAAACAAGGUAUAAUUAGAACAUUACACCAAACAGUGGUAAAACAAAUAUAAAAGUUUAUCAAAAUAUUCUACGCAGCGCUACGAUCACACAAACGUAAAGUUCACGAAAAUCGGAAUUAAAACGUGAGAGAUAUGAAUUUUCUAAGAUUUCCUAUAAAGAAAUAAUUAAUUAAAUACUACUGCAGAAUUAAAAAGUUUCAAAACAGUAAACUAAUAUUUCUAACAUGUAGAGAUCGUAAAUACGAAUCCAACGGAAUUUGAAUGGAUAAAAACGGAGUUAAAACGAAUAUUUUAUGAGCAAAACAAAAUCAGUGGCAAACUUGUAAAUAGCAGAAAAAGCAUUUUUUUUUUAAGCGACCGUCACCAGCUCCGGUGCGGUGGCCACCAUGGCCGGAGAGCCGAAGCUCGCCGGAGCUCCUCGACUUCUCCUUUCCGAGCACCGUUUUUUGAAAGGAAAAUACCGGGAUGAAGAGGAGCUCACCACGAUCUCGUCUAAGCGCUUGGUUGGGUCCGAGAGAGAACGGAGAGGGCUUGCCACGGAGAGGAACAAGAUCGGCCACGCCGAGAUCCGAACUCCAGAGAAUACGGCGACUAGGGCUCGGUUUCACAACUUGGAUGCAAAGAGGGAGCCGCGGGGUUUACCUAGGGCUUUAUAGGGGCUUGAUUUGCACAAAAGGCAAGAGAAUCCCGCUGUUCCCGGGAUUGAGUCGGCCGGUUCGUGAGUCCGGGUCGACUACGAACAGAGGUAGGGGACGAGCGUUUUUUUUUUUUUUUUUUUCUCAAAUCUUUUUUUCAAAAAGGAUUUUGGGGACAAUUAAAUACAAACCAAAUACAAUCAACACAAAAUAAACUAUGUCUCAGCAUGAAUGCACAUAAUCAUGUUACUAAGCUUAUGAUAAUUUUUAAUUUUCACAAAAAUUGUUUAUUUGCUACAUUAAAUGCUCACUAAAAUUCUUAAAUAACUCAAAUUAAAUCCUAUUAAUUCCAAAUCAAAUUUUGGGUGUUACAAACUCUACCCCCCUUAAAAGAAUCUCGUCCUCGAGAUUGAACGGUGCUUACUCGAACAGAUAUGAGUAUGACUUCCUCAGAUCAUCCUCUCUUUCCCAAGUUGCCUCCGCUUCCGAAUGCCGAUUCCACUGUACUUUGCACAUUCUGAUGACCCGACUUCUGGUGACUCUCUCUGCUGUCUCCAAUAUUUUGACCGGAUGCUCUUCAUAAGUGAGGUCACCUUUAACGGAAAGUUCUUCCAAUGGUAACUGCCCCUCAGGUACACGCAGACACUUCUUGAGUUGUGACACAUGGAACACAUCGUGCACACCAGAUAAACUUUCCGGCAAUUCUAACCGAUAUGCUACUUCUCCACGCCUUUCUAAAACUUUAAACGGACCAACAUACCUUGGAGCUAGCUUUCCCUUCAUAUUAAACCUCUUCACACUCCGCAUAGGUGACACUUUCAGAUAGACAUAAUCACCCACUUCAAAAGCCAGCUCUCUCCUACGCGUAUCUGCAUAGCUUUUCUGACGAGAUUGAGCAAUUCUCAAGUUAUCCCGAAUAGUCCGCACUUGUUGUUCUGCAUGUCUAAGCACAUCUGUCCCAAACACCUGAGUUUCUCCCGUCUGAUUCCAAAACAAAGGUGUCCUGCACUUCCGACCAUAUAGGGCCUCGAACGGUGCCAUCUUCAGACUUUGCUGAUAGCUGUUGUUGUAGGAGAAUUCUGCAUAUGGCAAACUCUUGUCCCAACUAGCCCCAUACUGCAAAGCACAAGCUCUCAACAUAUCCUCCAAUAUCUGAUUGAUCCUCUCAGUCUGUCCAUCUGUCUGUGGAUGAUAUGCUGUGCUGAAAUUCAACUUGGUUCCCAAUGAAUCAUGCACUGCUUUCCAAAAGUGAGAUGUGAAUUGAGUACCCCUAUCUGACACAAUCUUCUUAGGUACCCCAUGCAAACAAACAAUUCUCUCCAUAUACAGCUCAGCUAGGCGUUCUCCAGUGUACUUAGUUUUAACGGGUAUGAAGUGAGCAACUUUGGUCAAACGAUCUACUAUCACCCAUAUUGAGUCAUACCCUCUCUGUGUACGUGGUAAACCCACUAUAAAAUCCAUACCCACUUCUUCCCACUUCCAUUCCGGAAUCUUCAUUGGUUGCAACAGUCCAGCUGGCCUCUGAUGUUCAGCUUUCACUCGCUGACAAGUAUCACACAAAGCAACAUACUCAGCUACAUCUCUCUUUAAACCAUACCACCAGUACUUCUGCCUCAGAUCUAGAUACAUCUUGGUGCUACCAGGGUGAAUGGAAUAUGCUGACUCAUGAGCCUCUCUCAGAAUCGUAUCACGAAUAGCCUUCACUUCCGGAACACAUAUCCUUUUUCCAAACCACAAUACACCAUUGUCAUCUAUUCUGAAUCCUGGUGCUUUGCCUAAUGCCACAUUCUGUGCUAUCUCCUUUAGUUUCUCAUCUUCCAACUGUCCUUUCAAUAUCUCUUCCUCUAGAGUAGGAGUGACCUCAAUUUCCAUAGCAUUCACUACAAUUCCCAAGUUCAAAUGUGCAAAUUCAGCACACAACUCCUCAGAUUCAGGUGUCGCCUGUAGCUCAUUAGCAUAUUUCUUUCUGCUAAGUGCAUCAGCUACGACGUUCGCCUUUCCAGGAUGAUAAUGCACUUCCAAGUCAUAAUCCUUUAUCAGUUCCAACCAUCUUCGUUGCCUCAAAUUCAGAUCUGUCUGGGUGAAGAUAUACUUCAAACUCUUAUGAUCAGUGUAUAUGUCACUCUUAUGCCCAAUCAAAUAGUGUCUCCAAAUCUUCAAUGCAUGAACCACAGCUGCUAACUCCAAAUCAUGAGUAGGAUAAUUCAGUUCAUGUUUCCUCAAUUGUCUAGAUGCAUAAGCAACAACUCUACCUUCUUGCAUGAGAACACAACCCAAACCCAGACGAGAAGCAUCACAAUAGAUAGAGAAACUCUUACUCAGAUCUGGCAAAACCAACACAGGUGCAGUAGUCAAUCUCUUCUUGAACUCCUCAAAACUAGCUUGACACUUAUCAGACCAUACAAACUUAGCAUUCUUCUCUAACAGAGCUGUCAUAGGCUUUGCAAGUUUUGAGAACCCUUCAAUGAAUCUACGAUAAUAACCAGCCAAACCAAGAAAACUGCGUAUUUCACUUACAUCAGUAGGUGGUUUCCAAUUCAACACAUCUCUCACCUUACUAGGAUCCACUGCAAUACCACCAUUAGAGACAACAUGACCAAGAAAAGAAACUUCCUCCAACCAAAACUCACAUUUACUACGCUUAGCAUACAACUUAUGUUCUCUAAGUUUCUGUAAGACCAAUCUCAGAUGUUCAGCAUGUUCUUCCUUGGUUUUAGAGAAUACCAGAAUAUCAUCAAUAAAGACCACCACAAACUUAUCAAGAUACUCCAUAAAUACUUUAUUCAUCAUGUACAUAAAGUAAGCUGGUGCGUUGGUCAAACCAAAGGACAUAACUGUAUACUCAUAUAACCCAUACCUUGUUGUGAAAGCUGUCUUUGGUAUAUCUGAAUUCCGAAUCUUCAAUUGAUGAUAACCGGAACGCAAAUCAAUCUUAGAGAACACACAAGCACCUCUUAACUGAUCAAAUAAGUCAUCGAUCCUAGGCAAGGGAUAUUUAUUCUUGAUAGUGACCUCAUUAAGUGACCGAUAGUCAACACACAUCCUCUGACUACCAUCCUUCUUAUCAACAAAGAUAACUGGUGCACCCCAUGGUGAUGAACUAGGACGAAUGAACCCUUUAUCUUGCAAUUCCUUAAUUUGUUUCUUAAGUUCUUCUAGUUCAUUAACCCCCAUUCUAUAUGGUCUUUUAGCUAUGGGUGCAGUACCAGGUAGUAAUUCAAUAAUAAAUUCAAUGUCUCGGUCAGGUGGCAUACCUGGCAAUUCAUCUGGAAAGACAUCCGGAAACUCAUCCACUACCAAAUUCUGAGGAUCAACAUCUUCAUUCAGUUGGUUCACCUUGGCUGUGAGUGGUGCUUGCACUGUUACAUUAACACUGAUUCGUUCUCCCUUUGGUGUUGUCAGAGCCACUACUCUCUCUUUGCAAUUAAUAUUUGUUUCAUGUUGCUUCAUCCAAUCCAAACCCAAGAUCACAUCUAUGCCUGAAGUUCUCAUAACCAUGGGACUGAUAGGAAAAUCUACCCCCCUUAACGAAAGACUUGCCGAGGGGCAACAUAAAGAAACUGGUAUAGUCCCACCCGGUGAAUUAACUAGCAUAGGAGUUUUCAUUGCAACUAGUGGAAGGCUAUGAACUCUAACAAAUGCUUGUGAUAUGAAUGUAUGCGAAGCUCCAGAAUCAAAUAAAACUGUAGCAGGGAUAGAGUUGAUGCUGAACGUACCCAUCAUGAUUUCGGGUCCCUCCUGAACAGUUUCUGCUGCCACGUUGUUCACCUUUGCUGAAUUAGGAGUGGAUCUCCGGUCGUUGUACUGCGGAUUAAACUUCUCUGGGCAAUCAUAGGACAUAUGUCCUUCCUUCCCACAACGGAAACACCUGGUAGGAGUGUUAGAGGCACUUCUUUUUGUGGAGUUGGCAUUUGGGUUCCCUGGGCGAGGUGCCUGCUGGCCAUGCUGCUGUUGAUUAUGGUUACGUUGUUGGAAUGGAGGACGUUGGUUCCCACUCUGUGACUGAUUCUGGAAACGCUGGGGUUGUUGGUUGCGGUUCCACUGACUAACUAGUCCCUGGAACCUCUGCUGAUGACCUUGAUGAGAACUGAAACGCUGACGGUUGUUGCUCCCAGAACCUUGUGCCAGCAUCCUUCUCUUCUUAUCCUGACUCUUCCGCAUAUUAUCAAGCACGAUAGCACGAUUCACAAGAGCCUGGAAGGUAGGAUAGGUGUUUCCAGCCAACUGCAACCUGAGUUCAUAGUACAAGCCCUUCAUGAAUAGACGCUGCUUAUCAGCAUCUUCCCUGACAUCAUUCGGAGCAUAGCGAGCCAACUGUUCAAAUGUGUCAUGAUAUUCUGCCACAGUCAUGGAGCCCAUCCUGAGUGAUCUGAAUUCUUCUUGUUUGAGCUCCAUCACUCCUUCAUUUAUAUGUCGAGCUCUGAAGUCCCUACAGAAUUCCAGCCAUGUGACAGGAGAAGCAUUGUUGGGGCGAGCAGCUUGAUACGACUCCCACCAUGUCUGAGCUGCACCUUGAAGCUGUCCAGAAGCAUACAACACCUUCUCCAAGUCGUUGCACUGUGCUAUGUUUAGCUGCCUCUCCACAGCACGUAACCAAUCAUCUGCCUCCAUGGGAUCAGCUGAGUGUGUAAAUACCGGAGGUCUUCCCUUCAUAAACUCUCCACGCUUGUCCCUCACAUGAAUAGGUGGUGGUGUCGGUGGAGGUUGUUGCUGCAGGUGCUGCAUGAAAACGUGCAUCAUCUGAUUUUGGGUUUGCAUGAGUUCCUCCACGGUGAUUGGGGCAUUGCCACCAUUACCAUUGUCAUUGCCAUUGCCACGGCCUCUGCCUCUGCCUCUUCCUCUUGCUGCCAUCUGCAUUCCAAGGUAUAUAAACACAUCUUAGUAAUGCCCAACAUGACAAUUACAAGAGUUAACCGAAUCUGAAAUUUUCUGGGUAACAUCCAACGUCAGCAGGUCAGAAAAUCAGUAAUAUCUCGAGUUCCAGAAUUCAAAAGGAUACAUACUGUACACCGUUGGAAAGAUAAAGAAAUUGUCUACAACUUUCAUUUAGAUCAUAUCACCAGAUUCCAACGUGAGAUUAACCAAAAACUGGGUACAACCGAAACUGUUCCAGAAUUCCAGACUGCGCAGAAACCUCAACUUUAAACAGUCAUAACUCACAGCUCAUAAUAGAUAAUAUGGUCAUUCUUGCGGCAUUGGAAAUAUAUGAAAGUCUACUUUUUCCCAGAAAAAUUUGAUGAACAUUGCACGAGCAUAAUUUGAUUUAUUCCAGAAUCAUUGCAGACUGGUCCAGAAAACAGCAAAAGACAGAAACAGGAUAUGACCCCAAACUACUAUUUAUUCAUGUUCUUACUUAAGGUUCUUAAUUAGAGAACUUGUGGACAUGCCCACAAAUUCCCAGCACUCAUUACAAAAAUCCAAAUCACACAUAUUCAUAAUAACAAAUCAGCAAGCACACCAAGUUCACACCACACUAGCAAAAGACUCUAAAUAACUCGCAACUACUAACGUUACUAUUACAUAUGGGUUCUUUUCUAUUCUUCGGGUGCAGCAUCCUUCAAGAUGGGUUCAACAUGCAGCCUCUUAUGAAGUUUGGGGCGGCCUAACUCCGCUCGAAGGUCAUCCGCUUCCCUUUGCUCUUUCUCCAGCAGCUUCCUCUCACGGUGUAGUUCAUUCUCCAACUCUAUCACCUUGAGUGUCAGCUCAUAAGUCAACUCCACUUGUGCUUGAAGCUUUGGUUGUGAAGCAUCUGCAACUUCUAUGGCCCAAGUCAUCUUCUCUGGUACAAAGCGAGGAUAGUGGUAUGUUGCAUUGUACUGAACAUCCUCAAAGCGUCUACCACGGUAAAAGAUCAAUGCCUGGUAAGCUGCAUCUGCCAUGCUCUCUCUCAUCGUGUCCCGGCUGAUUCGAGCGAGGUGUUUUGAUUCCACCUUUCGAAUCCCCUUGGUGGCAUCCAGUGUCUUGACUAUCAGCUCUGCAACCCAAAGUGAUCUCUUCAGCGGGUGUUUGUGCUCAGUGCAGUUAUACUCCAGUGUGGCCUGCAAAUCCGGGUAAUGGUGUUUCAAUGUCAACACCAAAUUCUCAUGGAAGAAAGCCUUGGGAUCUGCCUCUGGAAUCCACAGCUCAGUAGUCCAUCCCAUCCUUGCAUUAGCAGACUGUGAUGGAGGUGGAUCUUGCAUCUCCUCAUCUUCAGGCCCUUCCUCCUGAGCUUCCACUCUUGAUUCCUCAUCUUCCAGCUCAGGAACUCCAUCCACACGUUGUCCUCCUAGGUUGAACAUGGCACGGUACUCCUCAGCAGCCAUGCGUGCAGCACUGCGGGUACGAGGCGGCAUCUACAAAAAGUUUUUAGACAUAGAUCAGAUGGAUGCAAUAAUUUCACAAUAGAGCAAGAUAGAGAAGCAUAAAUUUUUAGCAAAUAACAAGACCAUAGUGGGAAGCAUGAAGUAAGUAAAAUAAGGACCUAAGUUUUUGACCUUUUGCUAACUAGGUUUGCGUCCUACAGUCAACAAAGCUUUGAUACCAAUUUGUCACACCCAUAUUUUAAGAGCAAAAUAGGAUGCAUAAAAGACUCAUAUGUGCCCCAGAAACAGUCGCACACAUAAGUAGACAAAUCUCAAAUGUACCAUCGCAGUGUUUAUUACAUAGCGGAAUAUAAAAUAUCACAUAGUCUCAUACAAAAAUGAUAACAUAAAGUAAACAACGCUCUCAACGGAAGCUCCACACAGGGACACUGUUGACUGGUUGACUCCAAACCUAGUACUCAUAACGGUAGUCCUCAUUCCAGUCAUCUUCAUUAUCAUAUCCUGAGGUGUUGGGAAAUUGCAAGAGUGAGCACAUAUCGUACUCAACAAGUAUAACCAGGGGUUCAUGAGGCUCAAAUAGCUGACACUGGUUUGACUGCAUUUAGCUUUUAAUAGUGGAUAGCAUGUUCAUAAUUAAAUAGCAAUUCUCAAGGUAGCAUAAAUAAUCAAUUAAUCCCAUGAUCAAUGUAAGCAUAAUUAACUCAUAGCAUAAACAAUAAUCAAAUGAACAUAAUAACAUAACAAGCUCAUCAUCUUAAUGUAGAUGUCCCCAAGGCCGCUCCUGACCGUGAGCUCGGCUAGUAUACCAGUUUUACACUCUGCAGAGGUUGUACAUCUUUACCCAUGAGUCAUGAUUUACCCUUUCGCCCGAGGCCCGUCGACCUCUUAACCCACUACCAAGGAAGGUCGGCAGGGAUCACUAUGAAGCCUUUCAAAAGUUCGUCUAACAUGUUAGGGCCGCAAGGUUUCCUUUGCGAGCAGAUAUAGAUACCCCCCUUCCGAAUGGCACAAUGACGCGCAGCCUAUACACAUAGGGACAGGGGCUCGCACUAUACCCGUGUCGGUUCAGCCCCUCUAGCGCCCUUUCGGGUAACCUCUAACAAGCUAGAAAAGGUCUUCAUACUGAGCUAAAGCCAGAGCCAUAAUAGCCCUCAUGGUUGCACUGUUAUCCCGGGUGAUCACGUACAGACAAGAUCUCAUGUCGUUAUUUGUCAUUCUUUUAUGUUCAUUGCAUAGCUAUUAAUCAUCUUACAAGAUCAUGGAUUAUAUCAAGCACUAGCACAUCUACUCCAAAUGCAUAUCAAGUAGGUAGCAAGGAAUCCAGGUAACAAUCAUCUAUGAUUUUGCUAAGGUCGACAAGGUGAUAGCAUGCAUAUGACAUAUAUGUGUAGUUAUAAGUGAAUAGGUAACAAGGAUAAUCCCAAGUUAUACUUGCCUUGCUCAAAGCUCUCCUGAGCUUGCUGGUCCUCAAAAGCUUGGGCUUGGUCACCAACGUACGGCUCACCGUCUAAUCCCAAUCAUCAAUCAACAACACGCAUUCCAAUGGAGACAAUCAUACACAAAGCAAACAAGGUAUAAUUAGAACAUUACACCAAACAGUGGUAAAACAAAUAUAAAAGUUUAUCAAAAUAUUCUACGCAGCGCUACGAUCACACAAACGUAAAGUUCACGAAAAUCGGAAUUAAAACGUGAGAGAUAUGAAUUUUCUAAGAUUUCCUAUAAAGAAAUAAUUAAUUAAAUACUACUGCAGAAUUAAAAAGUUUCAAAACAGUAAACUAAUAUUUCUAACAUGUAGAGAUCGUAAAUACGAAUCCAACGGAAUUUGAAUGGAUAAAAACGGAGUUAAAACGAAUAUUUUAUGAGCAAAACAAAAUCAGUGGCAAACUUGUAAAUAGCAGAAAAAGCAUUUUUUUUUUAAGCGACCGUCACCAGCUCCGGUGCGGUGGCCACCAUGGCCGGAGAGCCGAAGCUCGCCGGAGCUCCUCGACUUCUCCUUUCCGAGCACCGUUUUUUGAAAGGAAAAUACCGGGAUGAAGAGGAGCUCACCACGAUCUCGUCUAAGCGCUUGGUUGGGUCCGAGAGAGAACGGAGAGGGCUUGCCACGGAGAGGAACAAGAUCGGCCACGCCGAGAUCCGAACUCCAGAGAAUACGGCGACUAGGGCUCGGUUUCACAACUUGGAUGCAAAGAGGGAGCCGCGGGGUUUACCUAGGGCUUUAUAGGGGCUUGAUUUGCACAAAAGGCAAGAGAAUCCCGCUGUUCCCGGGAUUGAGUCGGCCGGUUCGUGAGUCCGGGUCGACUACGAACAGAGGUAGGGGACGAGCGUUUUUUUUUUUUUUUUUUUCUCAAAUCUUUUUUUCAAAAAGGAUUUUGGGGACAAUUAAAUACAAACCAAAUACAAUCAACACAAAAUAAACUAUGUCUCAGCAUGAAUGCACAUAAUCAUGUUACUAAGCUUAUGAUAAUUUUUAAUUUUCACAAAAAUUGUUUAUUUGCUACAUUAAAUGCUCACUAAAAUUCUUAAAUAACUCAAAUUAAAUCCUAUUAAUUCCAAAUCAAAUUUUGGGUGUUACAACAUGCAUGAAGCAUUAAAUAUAGACGAAAACGAAAACUAAUCACACAGUUCAACUGUAAAUCGCAUGACGAAUCUUUUGACCCUAGUUAGUUUAUGAUUGGACAAUAUUUACCACAAACAAACGAAAGUGCUACAGUAGCGAAAUCCAAAAUUUUUUCAGAUCUAAACAAGGCAUUAGGUAAUACCAUGUAACAAGGACUGUCCAAUUGCAGACGAGCUAGCUUUCAAAAUCUUACUUUU
rnacentral:lncRNA from 1 species